rnacentral:lncRNA from 1 species
AAAAAUUUUUAUCCAUCCAUUUGAUUUUAAACAUGCUUUUUUUUUUUCAUACAGCCGGACAGAGAGGAAGUUCAAUUUUGAAUCAGAUUACAAAAUCAUCUGGAGCUGUAACAGUGAAAAGUAUAUCAGGGAAGAAAGAGAGAGAACAAGCCAGUUGCCAUUUGGGAGUAUGUUCAACCAAAAUCCUUCCGGAAGAAUUGUUGGGGUUCCUGGGGGGAUGAGGCCAAAUGACACCUGAGGGGAGGGGUAAGCUGGGCCCUUAAUUCUACCUCUGCGUCUGGACCAACAGAAAGUGGUAAGAAGGACAAGGACCUCAUGCA